rnacentral:rRNA from 1 species
AGUGAGGAAUAUUGCGCANNGGAGGCAACUCUGACGCAGCCAUGCCGCGUGAAGGAAGACGGCCCUACGGGUUGUAAACUUCUUUUCUUAGCUAAGAAUUAUCGAUACGUGUAUUGGUUUGACUAGCUUUGGAAUAAGCAUCGGCUAACUCCGUGCCAGCAGCCGCGGUAAUACGGAGGAUGCAAGCGUUAUCCGGAUUCACUAGGUUUAAAGGGUGCGUAGGCGGAAUAAUAAGUCAGUGGUGAAAUCUUGCGGCUCAACCGUAAAAUAGCCAUUGAUACUGUUGUUCUUGAGUUCGGUUGAGGUAGGCGGAAUGAGUAAUGUAGCGGUGAAAUGCUUAGAUAUUACUCAGAACACCGAUUGCGAAGGCAGCUUACUAAACCGAAACUGACGCUGAGUCACGAAAGCGUGGGGAGCGAACAGGAUUAGAUACCCUGGUAGUCCACGCCGUAAACGUUGAUUACUCGUUGUUGGCAAUACAUCGUCAGCGACUGAGCGAAAGCAUUAAGUAAUCCACCUGGGGAGUACGUCAGCAAUGAUG